rnacentral:lncRNA from 1 species
AGAAGUUCUGCAACAACAGAAAAUGUGUGACAAAAAUGCCAGAAUUAUUAUAGUCUCCCUUUAGUUCCUGAAUAUCAUUAAGAAAAGAAAAUUAAUCUGGCUACUCUUAGAAGAGUUCCAGGGCUAUGAAUAACUAUUCUAUGAAAAAAUAAUAUCACAGUGAAUUUACUUCAUUUCCCUAAAACAUCUAAGUAUAUAGGUUCUUAUUACUUGGGCAAGGUGCUGAUAACCGUGGCAUCCUACACAUGUCAGAGUCUGUACCACAGAUGAAGAACAUGAAAAUAUGAAAUAUUUUUGCUUAGAUGAGUGCUGCUCCCCUUCACCCUAAAGAAAGGGAGAAAAAUCUUCCCUCCAAAAGAAGAAUCUUGAGUUCUUACUUUAAUUUAGAGUGUAAAUAAGUAUAUCCAUAGGAAAGGUAAAUCCCAGGACUCAUACCUCUCCUUGAAAUUUAAAAUAUAGCUCUGAAGAGGUGAAUCUACAUGGAGUUGUAAAAAGAGAGAGUAUUCCCUCCAGACAAAGGCUUUCAAGCAACCACAGGAGAAAAUGCCCUGUGUAGGGAUAAUGAAUAUUAAUCUAAAAUAAUUUUUUCUAAUAUAUGGUUUAAUUCCA